rnacentral:misc_RNA from 1 species
GAUGAAGAACGUAGCGAAAUGCGAUAAGUAAUGUGAAUUGCAGAAUUCAGUGAAUCAUCGAAUCUUUGAUCGCACAUUGCGCCCUCUGGUAUUCCGGAGGGCAUGCCUGUCCGAGCGUCAUUGCUGCCCUCCAGCCCGGCUGGUGUGUUGGGCCCCGUCCCCCUUCCCGGGGGGACGGGCCCGAAAGGCAGCGGCGGCACCGCGUCCGGUCCUCGAGCGUAUGGGGCUUUGUCACCCGCUCUUGUAGGCCCGGCCGGCGCCAGCCGACCCCCUCAAUCUAUUUUUCAGGUUGACCUCGGAUCAGGUAGGGAUACCCGCUGAACUUAAGCAUAUCAAUAAGCGGAGGA